rnacentral:rRNA from 1 species
AGGACGAACGCUGGCGGCGUGCUUAACACAUGCAAGUCGAGCGGAAAGGCCCUUCGGGGUACUCGAGCGGCGAACGGGUGAGUAACACGUGAGCAACCUGCCCUUAGCUCCGGGAUAGCUCCGGGAAACCGGAAUUAAUACCGGAUAUGACCUAGGCCGACAUCGGCUGUGGUGGAAAGUUUUUCGGCUGGGGAUGGACUCGCGGCCUAUCAGCUUGUUGGUGGGGUAAUGGCCUACCAAGGCGACGACGGGUAGCCGGCCUGAGAGGGCGACCGGCCACACUGGGACUGAGACACGGCCCAGACUCCUACGGGAGGCAGCAGUGGGGAAUCUUGCGCAAUGGGCGAAAGCCUGACGCAGCGACGCCGCGUGGGGGAUGAAGGCCUUCGGGUUGUAAACCCUUUCAGCAGGGACGAAGCGAAAGUGACGGUACCUGCAGAAGAGCGCCGGCUAACUACGUGCCAGCAGCCGC